rnacentral:tRNA from 1 species
AAGAAAUUAGUUUAACUGAAAAACAUUAGUUUGUCAAAUUAAAAAUAUUGUCUAAAAAAUAUUUCUUU